GACGAACGCUGGCGGCGUGCCUAAUACAUGCAAGUCGAACGAACUCUGGUAUUGAUUGGUGCUUGCAUCAUGAUUUACAUUUGAGUGAGUGGCGAACUGGUGAGUAACACGUGGGAAACCUGCCCAGAAGCGGGGGAUAACACCUGGAAACAGAUGCUAAUACCGCAUAACAACUUGGACCGCAUGGUCCGAGCUUGAAAGAUGGCUUCGGCUAUCACUUUUGGAUGGUCCCGCGGCGUAUUAGCUAGAUGGUGGGGUAAUGGCUCACCAUGGCAAUGAUACGUAGCCGACCUGAGAGGGUAAUCGGCCACAUUGGGACUGAGACACGGCCCAAACUCCUACGGGAGGCAGCAGUAGGGAAUCUUCCACAAUGGACGAAAGUCUGAUGGAGCAACGCCGCGUGAGUGAAGAAGGGUUUCGGCUCGUAAAACUCUGUUGUUAAAGAAGAACAUAUCUGAGAGUAACUGUUCAGGUAUUGACGGUAUUUAACCAGAAAGCCACGGCUAACUACGUGCCAGCAGCCGCGGUAAUACGUAGGUGGCAAGCGUUGUCCGGAUUUAUUGGGCGUAAAGCGAGCGCAGGCGGUUUUUUAAGUCUGAUGUGAAAGCCUUCGGCUCAACCGAAGAAGUGCAUCGGAAACUGGGAAACUUGAGUGCAGAAGAGGACAGUGGAACUCCAUGUGUAGCGGUGAAAUGCGUAGAUAUAUGGAAGAACACCAGUGGCGAAGGCGGCUGUCUGGUCUGUAACUGACGCUGAGGCUCGAAAGUAUGGGUAGCAAACAGGAUUAGAUACCCUGGUAGUCCAUACCGUAAACGAUGAAUGCUAAGUGCUGGAGGGUUUCCGCCCUUCAGUGCUGCAGCUAACGCAUUAAGCAUUCCGCCUGGGGAGUACGGCCGCAAGGCUGAAACUCAAAGGAAUUGACGGGGGCCCGCACAAGCGGUGGAGCAUGUGGUUUAAUUCGAAGCUACGCGAAGAACCUUACCAGGUCUUGACAUACUAUGCAAAUCUAAGAGAUUAGACGUUCCCUUCGGGGACAUGGAUACAGGUGGUGCAUGGUUGUCGUCAGCUCGUGUCGUGAGAUGUUGGGUUAAGUCCCGCAACGAGCGCAACCCUUAUUAUCAGUUGCCAGCAUUAAGUUGGGCACUCUGGUGAGACUGCCGGUGACAAGCCGGAGGAAGGUGGGGAUGACGUCAAAUCAUCAUGCCCCUUAUGACCUGGGCUACACACGUGCUACAAUGGAUGGUACAACGAGUUGCGAACUCGCGAGAGUAAACUAAUCUCUUAAAGCCAUUCUCAGUUCGGAUUGUAGGCUGCAACUCGCCUACAUGAAGUCGGAAUCGCUAGUAAUCGCGGAUCAGCAUGCCGCGGUGAAUACGUUCCCGGGCCUUGUACACACCGCCCGUCACACCAUGAGAGUUUGUAACACCCAAAGUCGGUGGGGUAACCUUUUAGGAACCAGCCGCCUAAGGUGGGACAGAUGAUUAGGGUG
rnacentral:rRNA from 1 species